CCUACGGGAGGCAGCAGUGGGGAAUCUUGCGCAAUGGGCGAAAGCCUGACGCAGCAACGCCGCGUGGGGGAUGAAGGCUCUCGGGUCGUAAACCCCUUUCAGCAGGGACGAAAAUGACGGUACCUGCAGAAGAAGCGCCGGCCAACUACGUGCCAGCAGCCGCGGUAAUA
rnacentral:rRNA from 1 species